GUGGGGAAUCUUCCGCAAUGGACGAAAGUCUGACGGAGCAACGCCGCGUGAGUGAAGAAGGUUUUCGGAUCGUAAAGCUCUUUCGUUAGGGACGAACGUGCUCUUUGUGAAUAAUGAGGAGUAAUGACGGUACCUAAAUAAGAAGCCACGGCUAACUACGUGCCAGCAGCCGCGGUAAUACGUAGGUGGCAAUCGUUGUCCGGAAUUAUUGGGCGUAAAGCGCGCGCAGGCGGGAUAUCAAGUCUGUCUUAAAAGUGCGAGGCUCAACCUCGUGAGGGGACAGAAACUGGUAUUCUUGAGUGUCGGAGAGGAAAGUGGAAUUCCAAGUGUAGCGGUGAAAUGCGUAGAGAUUUGGAAGAACACCAGUGGCGAAGGCGACUUUCUGGACGAUGUCUGACGCUGAGGCGCGAAAGCUAGGGGAGCGAACGGGAUUAGAAACCCGUGUAGUCC
rnacentral:rRNA from 1 species